rnacentral:rRNA from 10 species
UGAGGGGGGCUGCUCCUAGUACGAGAGGACCGGAGUGGACGCAUCACUGGUGUUCGGGUUGUCAUGCCAAUGGCACUGCCCGGUAGCUAAAUGCGGAAGAGAUAAGUGCUGAAAGCAUCUAAGCACGAAACUUGCCCCGAGAUGAGUUCUCCCUGACUCCUUGAGAGUCCUGAAGGAACGUUGAAGACGACGACGUUGAUAGGCCGGGUGUGUAAGCGCAGCGAUGCGUUGAGCUAACCGGUACUAAUGAACCGUGAGGCUUAACCUUACAACGCCGAAG